AACGAACGCUGGCGGCAUGCCUAACACAUGCAAGUCGAACGAGACCUUCGGGUCUAGUGGCGCACGGGUCCGUAACGCGUGGGAACCUGCCCUUAGGUUCGGAAGAACGCCCGGAAAGAGGUGCUAAUACCGGAUAAUGUCUCCGGACCAAAGAUUGAUCGCCUUUGGAUGGGCCGGCGUUGGAUUAGCUAGUUGGUAGGGUAAAAGCCUACCAAGGCUACGAUCCAUAGCUGGUCUGAGAGGAUGAUCAGCGACACUGGGACUGAGACACGGCCCAGAAUCCUACGGGAGGCAGCAGUGGGGAAUAUUGGACAAUGGGCGAAAGCCUGAUCCAGCAAUGCCGCGUGAGUGAUGAAGGCCUUAGGGUUGUAAAGCUCUUUUACCCGGGAUGAUAAUGACAGUACCGGGAGAAUAAGCUCCGGCUAACUCCGUG
rnacentral:rRNA from 1 species